rnacentral:rRNA from 1 species
GACGAACGCUGGCGGCGUGCCUAAUACAUGCAAGUUGAGCGAUGAAGUUUGGUGCUUGCACCAAUUUGAAGAGCAGCGAACGGGUGAGUAACGCGUGGGGAAUCUGCCUUUGAGCGGGGGACAACAUUUGGAAACGAAUGCUAAUACCGCAUAACAACUUUAAACAUAAGUUUUAAGUUUGAAAGAUGCAAUUGCAUCACUCAAAGAUGAUCCCGCGUUGUAUUAGCUAGUUGGUGAGGUAAAGGCUCACCAAGGCGAUGAUACAUAGCCGACCUGAGAGGGUGAUCGGCCACAUUGGGACUGAGACACGGCCCAAACUCCUACGGGAGGCAGCAGUAGGGAAUCUUCGGCAAUGGACGAAAGGCUGACCGAGCAACGCCGCGUGAGUGAAGAAGGGUUUCGGAUCGUAAAACUCUGUUGGUAGAGAAGAACGUUGGUGAGAGUGGAAAGCUCAUCAAGUGACGGUAACUACCCAGAAAGGGACGGCUAACUACGUG